UACGUAGGGUGCGAGCGUUACUCGGAAUUACUGGGCGUAAAGCGUGCGCAGGCGGUUAUUUAAGACCGGGGUGAAAUCCCCGGGCUUAACCUGGGAACUGCAUUUGUGACUGCAUAGCUAGAGUACGGUAGAGGGGGAUGGAAUUCCGCGUGUAGCAGUGAAAUGCGUAGAUAUGCGGAGGAACACCGAUGGCGAAGGCAAUCCCCUGGACCUGUACCGACGUUCAGGCACGAAAGCGUGGGGAGCAAACAGG
rnacentral:rRNA from 1 species